UAUUCCAAAACAACUUUAGUCAAUGACAUAUAAUAUAACAACUUAUUUGUUUUAUUUUUAAAAUCAAAGGCAAGACAACAGUAUUUAAAUAUUUAGAUAAAUAUGCUGUAUUUCAGAGUAUCUGAAAGCACAGGAACUUCUGAUUAUUAUGUGUCACUAUGCUGUGUAAAACUUAUAGUUUAGUAACUCAUUUAACUAGUCUUCUCAUACAUCAGUACAUUGUUCAUUGAGGUUUAUAUUUAAUGUCCUGGAUAGUGUUUGUGGGAAUAAGUAAUAUAUUUUACUACAUGAAAAUUACUAAGUUUGGGAGUGAGGGCCCAGGGGGGUGAUGGGAAGUCAUCUUCCUCUUGUGUAAUCCUUCCUUCUAGUCUGAAACUGAAAUGAUGUGCUAAUGCCAUGACAGGUCCAAGUUUACUUUGAUUUUAUCAGGUAAUUUCAAAGGAAAGUGGGUUUGACACUAACAGAAUAAAUACUCCCUGGGUUGGUAUCCAAAAAGGUUUCAGUUUGACUAUAAAUAUUAUUAUAGAAAAUCAGUAGCUGGCAGUUUUCUUUGGAUAUUGAUAUUGUAUUAUUUUGAAUUAUGCUGUAUAUUCAUAUGUGUUUGGUCAGAGCUGAUGUUAUUCCACUCACUCAGCAGUCCAAAGGAAGACAGAUGAUCUGACUCACAGUUCACAGCCAGAGGAAUGGAGAGGUAAACAAAAUUACUAUUUUUUAUUUAGUUUAUUCACAGUUUAUGAUCAUCCUCCAGUCUGUGAAAAUAAGGUAGGACUCUUAGCUAAAAAUAAUUUGUCAGUUUAAAAAAGAUGCUUUUAAUUUUCACCUCAGAAGUUCAGGAUAUUAUUACCAUGUUGUAUAUUGUUCUGUCAGUCAUGGGAGGUGUUUUCCAAUAAACAUCUUGAGUAGCUGGAAAUAUUUUAAUAUUAGUUUGUUGACCUUAUCCAACCAAGAUGAUAAAAGCAGAUAGAAGAGAGAUGCAAAGAAAGAAGGAAAUAAUUUGGCUUCAUUUCAAGCUAUUAGAUAUUUGGCUUCAUGCCAAAUAGUUUAAUUUUAGAUGGGCUAACAUACUUCAUCUCCACUAAAGGAAAGGCAAAUUUUAAGUAAGAGAAAAGCAAAAUUUAGGGUAAGUUUACCUCCUCUUUGUUUCCUUUUUAAUCAGAACCAUUCUUAACUAAUCUGGAAUGAAAAAUAACAAAGUGAGAUGUUCUUACCCCUUCUGUAAUAAAAGUCUGGGGAGUUGCCAGAGAUGUCUUAGGUACUUUGAUUCACCAGCUGAGAUGGCCUGACCUCUUAGAUGUUCAGAGCUGAAUGUUAACCACCAUUGUUUCUGUAUCUGCCUCCUACUUUUUGCUGUAAAGAACAGGAAGCUCAGCCAGCACCAUGUUUAUCACACUGUAGCAGUCUGAAACAGCUCAGUUUGGCUUGGGGGCUCUCAUGUAAAUUGUUUCAUUACGUUUGUUGAGGGAUUGUGGGUUUGCAUUCAAAACUACAACCUUCAAAUACAAGUUUACGGCUUGAAUAAAUUCAAACUCUUUAAGCACAGCUUGUUCAUAACUGUGAAGUUUCACUUUGCUCCCAAACCAUGUAGAACUGUGAGUUGUGUAUGAGUAGAAUCACUUGCUCCAGUUUUAUGGAUAUGAGGCUAUGAUGUGCUUUUUAUAGUUUCCAGGUCUGCUCCAAGCUGUCCAUGUGAAAAGGUAUGGCUUGAGAUCAGUAUAAAUUUCUAAAGGACAAAGAUCUGUGUCAGCUCUACCUACCUUUAAGAACACAGUAUGAUUCCUUCCUAUAGGAGGAACCCAGUCAGUUCUGUGAAGAAGAUCCCAUUCAAGGGGACAGAUUCUCCUUGGAAGCACUUGUCUCCAUGGUCUGGAACCAGGUGCUUUGGUGUCGCUGGAUAGCUGUGAUGCUGCCCACAGUUGCAAGUUAUUUUCAAUCAGAUCAUUAAUAGGAAGAUUAAUUUCUCAAUAAACAUUAAAUGCAGCAAAUUGCUGCUGAACCAUUGGUUCAGCAAUGAACCAAUGAUGGAGCACCUGCCACUAUGGUCAGUGAAGCACUUGUGCAUCCUCUGACUGCCUCUGGUACAGGAUGACUGGUUUCUUUAUCAGAAUUUGGAAUCUUCACUGAGGAUUUUCCUAUUGCCUUACAUUAUUAGUGACCUCUGAAAGCUGAAUAGAAACCAAUGCUAUUUCACACAUAGCUAAUCUCUUGUAAGAUUUAAAGAAAGUAUCUUUAGCUAAAUAGCGGAAACUUUCUGAAUGAUAUUAGUGAUUAGGAGAAAAAUAUAUGCAAAAAUUAUGUUAAUUGGAGGGGCUUUAAAAUUAAAUUUAGCUUUUAGGACCACACCAAGUAGUUUCUUCUACAAUCAAUUACAUGGAUAUGAACAAUUUUCCUGUUUUCCAUUUCAAGAUCAAAUGAUCUCAUAGGUUUUGGCAACCUUACCUCAGGUUAGUAAAUGUCUCUUGUUUCCAAAAAUGUAUUCACAACCAGGAGCAUCAAGGAAAGAGUUCAUUGCAGAGAUUAAUUUCAGAAGGAGACAACAAAGGUGAUGUUACUAAAUAUUUUUGGUUACUGGAAAUGUAUUUUGAAAACUUUAUCAACUCUAACCAUUGGAUUUUGACUUUAUCUACAAAUCCAGAUGGCCUAUUUGGGGCAGCCAAACAGAGCAAUUGGUUGAGAACUGUAAUUUUGCAAACUUGUUAAAUAUGAGAAUAUUUUUUCAGGGCUGGUUGCAGCUGCAGUGAAAAAUUGCAGAAUUGUUUUACAGUCAUUAUUGUGUUGCAGAUGGGAGCCUGAAUUCUUGCAGCUUCCCAGUUCCCAGUCAGAGCAAUAUGGAACAUUUCCUUUACCUUUCAAUUAUGACAGUACUACCACCACUUGUUUUAUUUUCAUUUAGCAAGUAAAUAUAUUAGAGUCCACUGCCAUCCAGAAAAGACUUCCACUAACUUGGCAUGGGAUCCUUAGUUCAUGUCAUUGAGGACCAACCUACUCUGGGUUAGGGCAACAUAAUUUGUUCCAUAUAAUUCAGGUGAAGGAUGUUCAUAAUCUAGGGAUGAAGCACUCUUUGGUGAACCAGUGCAGAGCACAGAGAAGGUAACAUUAUACAGUGAAGCACUGAGCUGUUCUGGUUUUGAACUCUGUAUAAGAACUCCUAUAGAUUAGGACAGGAAAAUGUAAGGAUUAGCAGAUGUGCCAUGCUUAUGGUUUGCAUAGGAAUUACAAUUUAAAAAAAUUAAGAAAAAAUAUGCAUUUAGCAUAUAGUUAUUAGAUGGAUACUGCUUCAGAAAUUAUUUUCAUUUGUAUCCUGCCUAUUACUGUAUUUAUCUCUAGCUGUAUUUUAGCAUACUGCAUACCUUUAGCAUACCUUGUACCAUGAGUAUAUUAUUAGUGGGGUGGUGCUUUUAAGAAAAGGAUGAAACUAGUUUUAAAUUUGCAGUGCUUCUGAGUACUCUGUUCAUUGUAAAGUUGGAACACAAAAUGUCCAUUCUGCUUUGAUCAAUAGUGUCAUGUUGUCUCUCCCUAUAUUUUGUCUCUAUUUUGUUGUUGUUUGGACUUUUUUUUCCUUUUCUGUAUGUAGUUACCUCCAGGGUAGUAAAGACAGUAGUAGACAGUUGGCAACCAUCAAAGAAAUAAUGAAGCAUUUCCUUUAGAGGCUGUAGAGCUGUUCAGAAUAUCACUUCAAGGCUAAUAAUAGCUUUGAGAAUUUAAAUUACAGUGCAGUGUUGAAAUUUUGUGCUUUGCCUCUACAGUUUUCUUUCCUUGGUUUAGGAGGAUCAUAUGUUAUUUGAAUCCAUAAGCUGCUGGAAAACAGUUACUGAAGUAUGAACUCAAGACGAUGUUAUUUGGGGACAAGGAAGAAUAAGGGCCCCAGGAAUCAAAAAGACAAUGUUUCUCUCUCAUUAUUUUGGGUCACUGAAGAUUACAUCUGAAAAGGAUAAUCUCAGAUAGGUAUUUCUAGGCUCACAUAUGGAGAAGUAGGACAAGAGAUUAUUUAACAGCUCAACACAAAAUUUGUUGGUUGGGGUAGCUGGUGCCAAAUACUCAGUGUUCUUGGCAAUAAAUUGCUUUUUAUCUAGCUUAAUCUCUUUGCUAAAAACUAGCAUAACUAAUGCAUACUCAAAAAAAAUAGGAAAAAAAAGGAAAUGUUCCUUCUUGGAUGAAAACUGAUUAAAAAUCUCUUCCCAGAGAGCAUCUCUUCUCGAGCCAGGAAAGCAGAUAACCAAAGAGGGCUACCUGUAAAGAUCUCUGCUUUUUCAGGAUCAGAAAGAUCCCUAGGACCUUGUAAGGCCCUGUUGUUUCAGUAAAUGGGAAAUCAGCUAAUAAACAUGUCGGUUCACUUCAAUAAUAGUCCUAUACCUGUAGGCAAAACAACAGUGUUAGAAAACAUACAUUUGUGAAGAAAUGUAUUUUAAGACUUAAGAAUUAAUAUGGCAUUGGCUCAAUCAGAGGCAUUUUAAGAAAAGUCAUUUGUCAUCCAAAAUAUUACUGAUGUUGCCUCUGGAAAUGUUUUGCAAUAGGGUUGUAGUUAGAGUAAUACCUAGGUUUGUGCCAACCCAGCUUAAAAGACAACAGCCUCAGAAAUCUGGCUUUGAAUCUCAUACAGUAGUAGAUUCAUGUGUCUUUAAUAUGUUUUCUGUUAGAAAGUCCUGUAGAGUUAACCAAAAUACUGUAGAAGUCAGUGACUGCAUAAUAGAAAUUAUGCACUCUUUUAUAUUUUGACAUGUACGAAGAUAGUUAAAAGAUGUAAUGCUGUGCAAAGCAGACAAACAAGGAAUAAGAAAAUAUUCAGAAAAUUUAACAAGUAACAUAUUUUAUUGAUUCUGUAGGUGUUGUAUUUACUUAAUAAGCUAUACUCAAGAGUUUUUCUUGAAACAGCAAACAGAUCUAUCCCAAAUGUCCCUGAAAUAAAAGUGUAAGUUUUCUCUUGCAGUGAGGAAGAAAUCUUAACUCUUGCUAUACAAUCUUCCUGAAAUGGUAGAAACUAGUGUGCAAUACAAAGCCAAAAGUUUAAAUAAAGUGAGUAGCUCGGUAGGCUCAUGUACAGCACCGCUUCCAGCAGCUGGCAUAUUCUUAACAGAAAAGAAUUUCAGUGGGACUUUUUUUUCAUUAGUGCUUUUGUCCUGGCAAACAAAGAAGUAAAUUGCUUAGUGACUCACCCUGCAGCUUGAUAACAUAUGGAUGAGGUGUGAGGUCAUGUUCUGCCAUCCUUAAAGCCAAUAUCUAAGCUCAUAAGUAUUUAUUUGCUCUCUGAAGGUGAUUAUGAUCUGCAUUACAACACCAACACUGCUAGUUUUAAAACAGCAAAUUAAAUUAUUAAUUUAUUAUAUAUAUGUAAAAAACUCAUUGCACAGUCUGUCCAAGAAGAGAGAACUUCAGCAACUCAGAUGUUUCAACUAAAGAUGAUAUGUGCAACUUCCUGCACCUUCAGUUUAAAAAAGCAGCUUUUGAAGCAGAGUAGUUUUUAAUAGAGUCAUAGUUGUAUGAAAGAUUCAGAGAAAAGUUGUAUAAUUUGCAAGUCUUAAAUGCCUGGAAAAUGUAUCUGGAGCUUAAAGGCAUCUCCAUGAUGAACACUCAAGCUGAAAGGAGGUUUUCGUCUCCCUGUGGCACGCACAGAUAGAGCUGUGAUUCUCACUGAAUAUUUGUUGUGCUUCUUUCAUUUUGUUUGGAAGGGUGUGGAUGGGCAGCAAAACAAUGUUCCAAAAUUAAAAGCUCAGAAGACCUUAAACUGACCUCUUAAGUCCACAUAAUAACAAAGCAACAUUGAAGGCCUGACCUCACAAACUCAGGAAGCACAGUGCCAAAUAAUCUUGUACAGUAUAGGAAAGCCAAAAUAUUGAACCUUAUUUUAGCUCUGCUCUGACAGAUGCACUGCAGCCUUAGGCUCAGGAGCUUUAUGUGCUUUUCUGCUCAUGAGUAACAUUCAGCUCAAGCUUGUGGGAAAAAAAAAAAGAAAAAAAAAAGAAAAAAAAAUCCUGCAUGUCCACAAGUGGAGGUCCCCUUGCUGCAGGGGAGUGAGGGGAGUGCAGACUCUUGUGCAGCUAAGGCAGAAGAUGCAGAGUGCAUUGCCCUUUGGGUUUUUCUUUGCUUGCUUGGGAAAGAAUGUCAGGAGCUAGAUACAGUCGAGUAGUGAAGUGGCAGUCCAGGAAACCAGUGCUUUGCUGGUGAAGGCUGACAAGAGGUCCAUGCCCCUCCUCCGGCGUUUGUUGUUUACAGGAAGUCUGGGUGGAACUCUAUCACUUCAAGUGACUGGCUCUACAUGAGUUGCGUCAAUGCAAGACUAUAUGCAGUGAAGUAGAAAAUAGAAACCUAUAGCAGACCUAGAGAAAAAGAUCUCUGAGGAUUUAAUUCCGGUUCCUUUCAGACAGUGGUCCUUCUUUGUUCAGCCCUGAGUCUGGGUACUAUGGUACAGGCUGCUCUCAGCACAAAUGUAACUGCUAGAAAUUUUUCUUUCAAUUUAGAUAUAUUGAAAUUGCUAAGGCCAUUUUCUGAAUUAUGGAGUCAGUCCUAAGGACUGUGUUUGAUUACCUAAAUGCACUGUCAUCUCUCUUAGAUGGAGAGACAAGUUAAAUGCUCCUGGACCAAAUUAUCUGCAGAGAAUUUCAUCUGAGUGCUGUCUCUUAAUUUCGAGGAUACUUGACUUGCAAUGAGUCUUUAUAACAAAGUGUUAACUGCAAAAAAUGGUUGUAGUGACAUAAAUAAAUCUGUUUAGGGCUCUAAUGUGAGAAAUAGUCCUACUCAAAAAAGCUCAUAUGCUAGGAAGUUUGUGUUCUGACAAGGUGGUGCUUCUAUGAGGAUGAAAGUGCAACAGGAACACUUGGCUGCUCCUCUGUAAGUUAUGCAGCAUGCAUAAUGCUUUUAUUGUAAAAUAUUACAUUUUUCCUCUUGUAAUAAAAUGGCUAAAAAGUUAAGUCAGCAGAUACAAUAGAAGUGCUGCAAAUUAACUGUUAGUCUUCUGCCUUGUCAGUCCAUGUAUAACUUUCUGCUUUACAUUUUGUAGUUGUUUUGCUGUUUAUUUAGUUAAAGGUUAUUUGUCCGUUUGGAAUGGAGAGUAAUGUUUUGAUCUUAGUAUGAAAUUGAGGAAAUAAUAUAAAAACUUGAAACCAUCUAAAUAAUGAAAUGGGGAUUCUUAAGGUAAAAAAUGCAUGCAUUUGGAAAUCAGAUGGAAAUCAGAUGUCAUAAAUUUAUUUAGAGUUUCAUAUUGGCAUUAAAAUUGUCACAAUGAAAAAUUACAAAUAUGGUAUGCAGGACUCUAGUAUAUCUUCUAUGUGAUGAAAUUCAAAUGCUCUUACUUCAGGAUACCUUUGUACUUGAAAUUUGUCAGGAAGUUUGUGGGACAGAGCAAGAGGAAGGUUUGCAUUUCUUUCAGAGUGAAGAUGGAUUAUAAUGCCUGGUGGGAUUUUUAUCCAGAGACACUUGCAGUCAUUAGCCUUGUCAGGAAUUUUUUUUUAAUCUGAGUAACAGGAACUGUGGUUAAUGGUGUAUACAGUUACUAACAACAUUACGAUGGCAGAACUAGGUGUUGUCAGUAUUAUCUAUUAUAAUACAGAUAUUUCUUAAGCUGUGGGUACAGAGGGUGGUGUAUGAUCGAUGAAGAGUGAGACGACCUGAGAGGGAUGUGGAUUUUUUUUUAGUUCAGGCAGGGAGACAUCUCCUCCUAGACCUUCCUCACUGUGUCUGUUUGUUUUCCCUAGGUUUUUGGCACAGCCUUGUCCAGGCAGUAGAACCAUUUGCACCAUGACAAACUGAAAGGUCUUGGCAUUAUCACAGUGUUUUUGGAGGCAAAAAUCACUGCCACUUUGUCUGGCUAUAGCACAGAGCCUGUCAAAGGUGGCCCCAGAUAAGGCAAACUGAUGAGAAGCUGAGAGCUCAUUUGUUCCCAUACACAUCUGAAAUUCCAGGAAUGUUGUAUCAGUGUGCUCUACCUUGCUUGAGAGGACAGCAGCUAUAGGAAAUGUUGCAGAAUUUGUUAAGCUUACAAAAGGAUACACUGAGUUUGGAUAGUGUACAGCUUUAUCUUUUCAUGUUCUUGUGAAAGAAUAACUUGCAAUGCUGGGAGACUUCAGGCCUGGGGCAUUACAUAAAAUACUUGACAAAGAAUGUUAAUACUUGUCUUUUCUGUUCUGGUCAGUUGUCCUUAAAGUAACUCCUGCAGACUCCAUCUGGCCAUCCUUAUGUGACUUUGAAAAAGUCAGCACUAUAAACUUCAUCUGACUGUUAAUUUAUUAUGGUGGGGUAUUUUUUCUUCUCCAGACAGAUGGAAUAGUAAGAAAAUUCCCUUUGCUGCCAAGAAACAAGAAAAAUGAUGAUAUCAUAUUCAGGUGCUUUCCUCUUCUCCAUUUAUUCUGCAUUGCAAUGAUGUUAUGAAGGGAAAGGUAAAUACACAUAUGCUCUGCCAAAGUUUCCCUGCAUGUGGAAGAAUGAAGAAAAACAGGGGGGGGGAAGGAGGGGUGGUUUUUUGGUUUUGUUUUUUUGGCCAGAGGGCUGCAUUAUCAGGACUUUCAUAUAUAAGAUGCAAAGGUGGUUGUUCUGUUAUUCUUGUUGCAUGUGACCCUUCAGAUGGACAAAUAUGUUGUAGGUAGAUCUUAACCUUCCAACAAGAAGGAAGGAAUUACCAUGUAAAGUGAUCAGCAUGUAGGUAUCUCUACCCAGUCUUUUUAAGUGGGAUGAUAUUUCUUCUGUGGUAGGAUAAUCUUCCAUUUCUUAUGUUUUUUUGAGGCAACAAGGCUGCUAUCUUCCAUAAUGUAUAUUUCUGCAUAUCUGAGAAAUCAGUCAUCAGGAUUCCAUUCAUGAGCUUGAGAGCUGACUGUUAAUUGCUGUUGGUUAAAAAAGAUUAAAUCCAUGGACUAGAAAACCCUGUGCAAGACUUAGAAGGAGUUAAGCACACAUGCUGGCAUUCUGAAUGCUACAUAAUACAUAUGGACAUGCUGGUACAUUUUGAGAAGUUUGGAUUUUGCUCAAAGCUAAACUUUGCUAUAAGCCUAAGGCAAGAAUAAGUUCCAAUUUUUGCAAAAGGAUGAUCUUUUUAGCAUUUCAUAUUGAAUUAGUUACUUCCAAAUUUAGAUAUAUGCAUAUAUAUAUAUAUAUAUAUAUAUGUCAACCCUCAACUCUGUUCUGAGAUCUUUAUGGGACUGCUACAGAUGGAAAACCAAUGUAACUAGCUAGCUUCCUACCUGUGGCCCUCGUAUCCCAAUAAAGAAUGGAAUAGUGGUAGCAAAGGGAAGUUGUCAGAAGCUACAUGUUCAGGAAAUCACAGUAGCUGCCACUCCUUCUUGAGAGCCAGUACAAUCCUCUGCAGCUCAGGAGAGCCAUGGUUUAACACCAAACACUUCUCCAGAGAAGGUGCUUCUGAAAAAAAGUUUUAAUCUAAAUUAAAACAUUGGUGAUUUGUCUUUGACUAAUGCAAACUAUAUAGGCUUGUUCUUUAUGUCCUUGAUAGUAAUUACAUUAUGCCAUGCUUAAUCUACAAUUACAUUUUCAGUUAAACUCUGAAACUAAAAAAAAAUGUCCUCAUUGUCUUGUAGAUGACUUAACAUCCUCCUUUAUUGUCUUCCUUUAAGGAAAUGGUUUCUCAACAAUUUUUCAGUCCAUCUGGAGAAGAAUGAUUUACCCAUUGACUUAGUUUAGAUUUUAGGAUCACUCCACCCACAACUAAAUUGAAAUUGAGAUCUCUAUUUAUCAAAAGACUGGCAGGCAAGAAAUGCAGGCAAAUACAUAAAAAUGAAAUGUAAAAUAUCCUGAAAACCAACUUACUUUCAGAAAUAUAUGAAUAGAUUUGUGAAUGCCCAAAAUGCUCUGAUGUUCUUCAGCAUUCCUAUCCCAGUUCAUUGAGCGUUUUGGAAAAAGUUUCCAAAGCCUUCCACUGGUGAAAAUUUCAGACUUUUACUUAGAAUUAUAUUCCAUAUUUAUAUUACAAAGUUUGUGUAAUAGUUCACUUUUUAUAUUUUGAAUCUUGUCCUCAGUAAACUUGGAGACUAACACAUCUGCACUUUUCUGAUGUGUUCUUUAAAACAUCACAUAUCACUUAUAACUGAAAACAUUUUUUUUCUACUAUUUUGUCUAUAUGUCUUGUUUUCUUCACUCCAUCAGAAUUUUCUCAAUAUCUUUUUUUUAGAUAUAUGGCCUAUGGCUGGACCCUAAAAUCAUACCUUAUUGCACUUGGACUUACUUUAUCAAUCCUGCACAUAACACUCCUAUUUAUACCCUUUGCUUUUUUUUUUUUACCCCAGGAUGAUGGCAACACAGAUUUUUGUUUAACUUUGAUUUAUUCAGAUAUUGGUGGGUUUUUCCUUUGUUUUUUCUUUUUUCUUUUUUCUUUUUCUUUUCCCAUUUUAUAACUGCUGUCUCUUCAUUUACUUUCAAUCUUCUAUUUGCCAUGGAAGUUUUUGCUGGAAUGUUAUAUAUGCUAUUUGUCCUAAACGAAACUAAACUUUUUCUAGCUGUUUCUGCAGUUUGUCUGGGUAUUUUACAAUUCUUCGAAUUGUAUUCUCCAAAGUAUUUUCAAUCUUUCAUAGAAUCAUAGAACUUUUAAAAUUGGGGAAAACCUCAUUAAGUCCAUCCAUUGACUUAGCUCUGUCCUGUUUACCACUAAGCUAUCCCUAUGUGCCACACCCACUUUUAUUUUUAACUCUUCCAGGGAUGCUGACUCCACCAUGUCGCUGGGCAGCCUGUUGCAAUGGUUAACCUCUAAAGAUAUUCUGUGGUUCCUCAUUUCUCUCUUUGUUGAAAAUAUUUAUCAAGGUCCAAGCCCAAAACAGAGCACAAACUUUCACAACAAAUUAUUUGUAGCAAUUGUGGACAUUUUUUUUGGUUUACUUAUAAAAAUAUUGGGUCAUACAGUGUCAGACUCCUAACUAAAUUCACAAGCUCUAUUUUCCCACUGAGUGGUUUGGCAUAAGUUGCUUACCUGUUUGUUUCAUAAGUACCUAGAAAUUAUAUAAAUAAAUACUUUGUCGGAUGAUCUUUUCCUGUAUUUUUUUUCUGGGAACUCAGUUAUAGAUCACUGAGUCUAAAAUUCCUAAUUUCUUGCUAAACUGUAGUAACAAUAAUUUUUUUCUUUUUUUUUUUUUCCUCUUGGUUCAUCUAGAUUCCAUUGCUUAAUGCAAUCUUCAUUUUUUCAGCCUCCCUUCUGCAGAGAUUCAGAAGGGAUAACUGAAAUGGUUCUGCCUGGCCUUGAAAUACAGGGAUCCACAUUUUUGAUGCUCUCCCUGUUCACUCCAGGCUGAAAUGUUUUUUGACAAGAUUAAACAUACCCAGACUGUCUCCAGUCAUUCAUCCUAUAAUGUUUUGAAAGCAGUCACUGAAGUUCCUACUGUUUUCCUAGCUGACCAGUCCUCGUGCUUAAAUAUAAUUCUGGAUGGAAAUUUUUCCUCAUGUCUUGUGCAGACUUCUAUUUUUUAAAAUAAAGUCUUGCUCCCUUCCUGGCCUUUGGUUGACAUGGGGGGAUAACUGAAUUCUUUGUUGCACUUUUCUGCAUGUUUGAACUUCAUUGUCAUGCUCUCCCUAGUCUUGCCUAGACUAUGGAAACCUGAAUCCUUCUGUUCUGUAAAUCAAGCCUCUUGAUUGUUGCUGGUCUUUCUUGUGUUCUCUUUAGCUUGUCUAAUAGAUUGUGACCAAAACUGGAUGGAGCACUUCCGCUGAAAUGAUCCAUUUUUUGAGAUGAUGGCCAUAUUUCCCAACUGACCUUUAGAGCUAUGACCAGAAUAUUUGUCUGGCUGGGAGCCUCAUCACCUUCUCCAUGGAAGAAGAGCCCCAAGGAGAUGGAGAGCUCCAGGAAUAGCAGGACACGAUAACAGUUCUAUCAGUGCAUUACAUGUAGGGUCCAUUCUUGCUGAAUAUCUCCCUUCUGAAGUGCCUGAUGUACCUGGGCCCUGAGAUGCACCCUAAGGCUUAACAGUGCAAAACUAAAAAAGCUUUCUGUGUCCAGCCAACUGAGAAAAUGAUGCUCCAGAGCCCUUCAGUUCCUGUCUAGUCUGAAAACACUACAUACAUGGAAGAAGAAAUUAAUUCCACUCCAGAAAACCCCUGAUGUGCUGAAAUUGCCCCUGGAGAUUUGGAGAUUUGGGUGAAUAUGGAGACGCAUGUUAUUAUCAAAAACUGAAACCACACAGAAAUAGGACAAGAAGAUUUUUUACUCUCAAAGAAGUAUAGAAGAAUCAGGGGCAAUUUCUGAUCAAUCUGAGCUACAAGGACUUUUAGGAAUUUUGUUCUAUUGUGCAAAGCCAAGGGCUUACCUCAUUUGGCAUCUAACUGCAGGUCUAGUUCAUCUAGAUCAUGAAAAAAAAAGGUAAAAAACCCCACUGUUUUUCACACACAUAUAUUGCUAUUUUUUCACAGACAAGUUGAGAAAGACACUAAUUCUCCAUCUAGACUGUAAGCUCCUUUGGUAUGUUUCCCGGAGCCUCCCAUCAGCAUGGCAACUCAUAAAACUCACAUAUGUCCUGAACGAAUCUGAGGUUUUUAAUAAAUCAUUAUUCUAAAUAUUGCAUUUUCAUAUGCCACUGGUUACACCUGCCCUUUUGUAAUUACUGAAUGAUUCAUGGGCUGUUUGGAAGAACACACAUAUGCACACAAAUAUUUAUAACUCUAUAAGUUUUGUUAAGCAAAGUUGUUGACCUCCUUUAAUCAAGAAAUUUAAAUGCUUUGAGCUGACUUUUGAGUUUUACUGAUUGUUUAAGAUACAAUCAAGGCUUGAGUGGGAUUUAAGAUGGGGCCUGUGACCACUCAGUUGCAAAACUGAGAUCUGCGCCCUUUGGUGGCAGCCUCUGAGUGUAUAUUAGCUCUAAUAAUGAAAUUCCAGGACUCGGUGGUGUUUAACCUGUGGUGUUGGAGGAAGAGGCAUACAUUUUCUGAGAUCAGGACCUAAAGGGCUUCUUUCCUGACCAUGUUUGAAGACUGAGGAAAGUUGAGGUCUCAAAGAGUACAGUCAGUGUCUUGAAAUGGAUUUCUGGGUGGCUGCUCAUGCAAGUAUUGUCAUUUAAGUCUACAGCAUCACUAGGCACCCUGAUGCUUCAAAGCCAUCCCUGUUUACCACAUUUUGUAGCAACAUGGCCUUCCUGUCUGCUUGAUGACCCUAUUGAGUUUUUAAGAAAUGCUUUCAACAUUGUUCCCAAACAUGGGUAAUAAACUUACAUACAUAUUCUCAGCAUCUUACAGUUCUUGAUGUUUGCAGAGCCAUUCAUUCGCACAUGAUUUGUAGCUGCAUGAAGCUGUGACACAGUGACAGGUCUGCAUAAAGAAACACAGGCUUUUACCACAGAUCACUUGACUUGAGAGAGCAAAAUUUACAGGAAGCAACACACACACCACAUAUCCCACAAUGCAGUGACCGAGUUCUAGAUUCACUGGCAAACGGCAUCUUUAUAUCAAGACAAUUCCCAGACAAGCAGAGCUACAAAACACGUGAGUUUGCAAAGAAAAACUCAGGAUUCCUGGGUUUUUGGAGCAGUCGAGGGAAGAAAAUGCUCUAUCUUGCCCCUUGCGUGUUUACCUCUUGCUAUUUGUAUGUUUACCUGCGCUUCAAGCGACUUUGUAUUCCUAGCUUUUGCUAGUUUUUAAAAAAUGUAUUUAAAAAUAUUAACCUGCUGUGCAUUAGGUCUCUCAACCUGAAUAUUCAGACUGGUGUGUCCUUUUUGGAAUGCAACAUUGUAUAAGCUAAGAUACAAGCACAGUCUUCUGGCUGUGAUACUAAUAUCUGUGUGUCUUACUCACUAAAAAUAAAGGCAGAAGAAAAUAUUUUUGAAAUAAUUCUACUCAAUAUCAAUCGGUAAACUCCUAAGGAGCUUGUGGGUAAACCAAAUAAACAUUUCACUGCAGCAUAUCUCUGCCUUCUUGCAAAAUAGAACUGAUGGACUGAAAGGCAGUAUUUUGGAGAU